rnacentral:tRNA from 1 species
GGGCGGUUAGCUCAGCGGGAGAGCAUUGCCUUCACACGGCAAGGGUCGCUGGUUCAAUCCCAGUACCGCCCACCA